GCCGAUGUGGUGGAAUUGGUAGACACGCUGUCUUGAGGGGGCAGUGGCCUUAGAGCCGUGCCGGUUCGAGUCCGGCCAUCGGCACCA
rnacentral:tRNA from 1 species